rnacentral:tRNA from 1 species
CUACAGACCUUAAACCA